rnacentral:rRNA from 1 species
GACGAACGCUGGCGGCGUGCCUAAUACAUGCAAGUCGAACGCAUUUUCUUUCAACGUAGCUUGAUACCCCGAAAGAAAGUGAGAGGCCAUAGGGAGAGUACCACGUAGGUAACAUGACCAUCAGCGGAGGAUAAUAAUUGCACACAGGUGCUAAUACUGCAUAAUUCCAUUUUACUCAAGUUAGAAGGGUGAAAGGCGCGUUUGCGUCACUGUUGGAUGGUGCUGCGGUGAAGUAGCUAGAAGGUGGGGUAACGGACUACGAAUGCUGAGAUGAAUAGCCGUCCGGGGAGGGUGAUCGGCCACACUGGGACUGAGACACAGCCAAGACUCCGACUGGAGGCAGCAGUAGGGAUUCUUCGGCUAUGGACGCAGGUCUGACCGUGCAACGCCGCGGGAGUGAAGAAGGUUUUCGGAUUGUAAAUCGCUGUUGUUAGAUAAGAACAAGGAUGAGAGUGGAAAGUUCAUCCCUUGACGGUAUCUAACCAGAAAGCCACGGCUAACUACGUG